rnacentral:ncRNA from 1 species
AAGAAACUAACAAGGAUUCCCCUAGUAACGGCGAGUGAAGCGGGAAGAGCUCAAAUUUGAAAGCUGGCGUCUUCGACGUCCGCAUUGUAAUCUCGAGAAGUGUUUUCCGUGUUGGACCAUGUACAAGUUCCUUGGAACAGGACGUCAUAGAGGGUGAGAAUCCCGUACUUGACA